AGCUGUACUAAUAGUUCUCUUGUGUGGCUGUUCUCCAGCUUCUUCAUAUGGGCACUUAGUGCUCUGAACUUCCCCCGUAGCACUGCUUUCAAAGUGUCCCAUAGGUUUGGGGACAUGGAAGAAGACUAUUUCAGAAGUCAAGUAAAGUCACAUUUGAAGAGAAAAUGUCCACUCAAGAAAGAGUGACACCUGGAGAUCUGGGGGACAGGAACAGGAAAGCAACAGCUACCAAGUUUGAAAACCAAUGACCUGACAAUCUGUGACAGAAACUACUACUUAAAUAUUUGAGAGGCAAUGUCUCUCUUUGAAGAGGAAAUGUGUUUUCUGUAUGUAGCAGAAGAUACAACCAGCAGCAUAUGUGCCUCAACCUGCCACGAUCCCUGUCAUGUUCUCCACCAUGAUGGCAAUGGACUGAAACUCUAAAAUUGAGACAAGAGAUGAUAGACUAUGGACAUUUGAAGAGGCAGUAAUUAUUUUA